rnacentral:rRNA from 1 species
UAUGAUGUCCUUAAUUGGGUGUCUUAUGGAUCCAGGACUUUUACCUUGAAAAAAUUAGAGUGUUUAAAGCAAGCUUAUUGCUCGAAUACAUUAGCAUGGAAUAAUAAAAUAGGACGGCUUGGUUCUAUUUUGUUGGUUUCUAGGAUCACCGUAAUGAUUAAUAGGGAUAGUUGGGGGCAUUAGUAUUCAAUUGUCAGAGGUGAAAUUCUUGGAUUUAUUGAAGACUAACUACUGCGAAAGCAUUUGCCAAGGAUGUUUUCAUUAAUCAAGAACGAAAGUUAGGGGAUCGAAGACGAUCAGAUACCGUCGUAGUCUUAACCAUAAACUAUGCCGACUAGGAUUCAGACGAUGUUAAUUUUUUAAUGACUCGUUUGGCACCUUACGGGAAACCAAAGUGUUUGGGUUCCGGGGGGAGUAUGGUCGCAAGGCUGAAACUUAAAGGAAUUGACGGAAGGGCACCACCAGGGGUGGAGCCUGCG